rnacentral:rRNA from 1 species
AGACCCGAAACCCGGUGAUCUAGCCAUGGGCAGGUUGAAGGUUGGGUAACACUAACUGGAGGACCGAACCGACUAAUGUUGAAAAAUUAGCGGAUGACCUGUGGCUGGGGGUGAAAGGCCAAUCAAACCGGGAGAUAGCUGGUUCUCCCCGAAAGCUAUUUAGGUAGCGCCUCGUGAAUUCAUCUCCGGGGGUAGAGCACUGUUUCGGCUAGGGGGCCAUCCCGGCUUACCAACCCGAUGCAAACUGCGAAUACCGGAGAAUGUUAUCACGGGAGACACACGGCGGGUGCUAACGUCCGUCGUGAAGAGGGAAACAACCCAGACCGCCAGCUAAGGUCCCAAAGUCAUGGUUAAGUGGGAAACGAUGUGGGAAGGCCCAGACAGCCAGGAUGUUGGCUUAGAAGCAGCCAUCAUUUAAAGAAAGCGUAAUAGCUCACUGGUCGAGUCGGCCUGCGCGGAAGAUGUAACGGGGCUAAACCAUGCACCGAAGCUGCGGCAGCGAACGUAUCACCCAAGACAACUUUACGGAGUUGACGAUUGACGGAGCGAAGCGACGUCAAAGCGUUCAUUAAAGUCGAGUUGGCUUAGGGAUACGUUCGUUGGGUAGGGGAGCGUUCUGUAAGCCUGUGAAGGUGUGUCGUGAGGCAUGCUGGAGGUAUCAGAAGUGCGAAUGCUGACAUAAGUAACGAUAAAGCGGGUGAAAAGCCCGCUCGCCGGAAGACCAAGGGUUCCUGUCCAACGUUAAUCGGGGCAGGGUGAGUCGACCCCUAAGGCGAGGCCGAAAGGCGUAGUCGAUGGGAAACGGGUUAAUAUUCCCGUACUUGGUGUUACUGCGAAGGGGGGACGGAGAAGGCUAUGUUGGCCGGGCGACGGUUGUCCCGGUUUAAGCGUGUAGGUGUGUGUUCCAGGUAAAUCCGGUUCACUUUAACACUGAGGCGUGACGACGAGGCACUACGGUGCUGAAGCAACAAAUGCCCUGCUUCCAGGAAAAGCCUCUAAGCAUCAGGUAACACGAAAUCGUACCCCAAACCGACACAGGUGGUCAGGUAGAGAAUACCAAGGCGCUUGAGAGAACUCGGGUGAAGGAACUAGGCAAAAUGGUGCCGUAACUUCGGGAGAAGGCACGCUGACACGUAGGUGAAGUGAUUUACUCAUGGAGCUGAAGUCAGUCGAAGAUACCAGCUGGCUGCAACUGUUUAUUAAAAACACAGCACUGUGCAAACACGAAAGUGGACGUAUACGGUGUGACGCCUGCCCGGUGCCGGAAGGUUAAUUGAUGGGGUCAGCGCAAGCGAAGCUCCUGAUCGAAGCCCCGGUAAACGGCGGCCGUAACUAUAACGGUCCUAAGGUAGCGAAAUUCCUUGUCGGGUAAGUUCCGACCUGCACGAAUGGCGUAAUGAUGGCCAGGCUGUCUCCACCCGAGACUCAGUGAAAUUGAACUCGCUGUGAAGAUGCAGUGUACCCGCGGCAAGACGGAAAGACCCCGUGAACCUUUACUAUAGCUUGACACUGAACAUUGAGCCUUGAUGUGUAGGAUAGGUGGGAGGCUUUGAAGUGUGGACGCCAGUCUGCAUGGAGCCGACCUUGAAAUACCACCCUUUAAUGUUUGAUGUUCUAACGUGGACCCGUUA